UAGUAAAUUUUUAAAGGUAAGUUCUGCCCUAUGAUUGUUUAAAUGGCUGCAGUAUUCUGACUGUGCAAAGGUAGCAUAAUCAUUAGUCUUUUAAUUGAAGGCUUGUAUGAAUGAAUAGAUGAGAGAUUUAUUUUAUUUUUAUUAUUGAUUGAAUUUGAUAUUUGAGUAAGAAAGCUUGAUUUUUUUUUUGGGACGAUAAGACCCUAUAGAACUUUAAUUUUAUUAAUUUUUAAUUUUUUUUAGUUUAUUAUUUUUUUAAUUUUAUUAACAUUUUUUUUGGGGCGGAGGAUAAAUUUGACUUUAUUUAUUUGGUUCAUUUUAUUUAUGUAUGUUUGAUCCAUUUAUGAUUAUAAGAUAAAGUUACCUUAGGGAUAACAGCGUUAUUUUAANGGGGAGUUCAUAUUUAUAUUAAAGUUUGCNACCUCNAUGUUGAAUUAANAUUANAUUGAGGGGCAG
rnacentral:rRNA from 1 species